rnacentral:lncRNA from 1 species
UGUUUAUUCUUUUUUUAUUCGUUUAAAUUUGUCCACGAGUAAUGAGUCUCGGUGAAAUAAUUGUUUGUAUGUUGAUUUGAUUCAUGAUUUAACCUAUUUUGGCUCGGUUCUUUUUGUGUUUUAGACUUAUCAAAUAUCCAUUUUCAAAAAUAUUUUGCUGGAGCUAAAGAAAAAAUGCGUGGAAACGCAUUUAGCCUCGGUUUCACCUUGGCAGUAUUGAGCACAAAUGUUUUGAUAAUUUGGGUCUACAAUGACAUUCAACCUAAUAUUUGUUUGGUAUUCUAACUAUUUUGAUCUGAGCUACACUGUUGUAUAUAAUGUUAACAAAACGCGCG